CCUACGGGAGGCUGCAGUGGGGAAUAUUGGACAAUGGGGGGAACCCUGAUCCAGCCAUGCCGCGUGUGUGAAGAAGGCCCUCGGGUUGUAAAGCACUUUCAGUGAGGAAGAACGCCUGGUGGUUAAUACCCAUCAGGAAAGACAUCACUCACAGAAGAAGCACCGGCUAACUCCGUGCCAGCAGCCGCGGUAAUACGGAGGGUGCGAGCGUUAAUCGGAAUUACUGGGCGUAAAGCGCGCGUAGGUGGCUUGAUAAGCCGGUUGUGAAAGCCCCGGGCUCAACCUGGGAACGGCAUCCGGAACUGUCAAGCUAGAGUGCAGGAGAGGAAGGUAGAAUUCCCGGUGUAGCGGUGAAAUGCGUAGAGAUCGGGAGGAAUACCAGUGGCGAAGGCGGCCUUCUGGACUGACACUGACACUGAGGUGCGAAAGCGUGGGUAGCGAACAGGAUUAGAUACCCUGGUAGUC
rnacentral:rRNA from 1 species